CUCAAUGGUAGUGUAACGGGCAGCCGAAAGGCUGAUCGCUUUCCAAUUGUGGCGAUAUUUCCUACCCCGUUACGCUACCGCCCAA
rfam:Rodentibacter heylii strain 1998236014 contig_39, whole genome shotgun sequence.